rnacentral:rRNA from 1 species
GAUGAACGCUGGCGGCGUGCCUAAUACAUGCAAGUCGAACGCUUCACUUCGGUGAAGAGUGGCGAACGGGUGAGUAAUACAUAAGUAACCUGGCAUCUACAGGGGGAUAACUGAUGGAAACGUCAGCUAAGACCGCAUAGGUGUAGAGAUCGCAUGAACUCUAUAUGAAAAGUGCUACGGGACUGGUAGAUGAUGGACUUAUGGCGCAUUAGCUGGUUGGUAGGGUAACGGCCUACCAAGGCGACGAUGCGUAGCCGACCUGAGAGGGUGACCGGCCACACUGGGACUGAGACACGGCCCAGACUCCUACGGGAGGCAGCAGUAGGGAAUUUUCGGCAAUGGGGGAAACCCUGACCGAGCAACGCCGCGUGAAGGAAGAAGUAAUUCGUUAUGUAAACUUCCGUCAUAGAGGAAGAACGGUGGAUAUAGGGAAUGAUAUCCAAGCGACGGUACUCUAUAAGAAAGCCACGGCUAACUACGUGCCAGCCGCCGCGGUAA